AUUGAACGCUGGCGGCAUGCUUUACACAUGCAAGUCGAACGGUAACAGGUUAAGCUGACGAGUGGCGAACGGGUGAGUAAUGCAUCGGAACGUGCCCGGUCGUGGGGGAUAACGCAGCGAAAGCUGCGCUAAUACCGCAUGCGAUCUGAGGAUGAAAGCGGGGGACCGUAAGGCCUCGCGCGAUCGGAGCGGCCGAUGCCAGAUUAGGUAGUUGGUGGGGUAAAGGCUCACCAAGCCAACGAUCUGUAGCUGGUCUGAGAGGACGACCAGCCACACUGGGACUGAGACACGGCCCAGACGCCUACGGGAGGCAGCAGUGGGGAAUUUUGGACGAUGGGCGAAAGCCUGAUUCAGCAAUGCCGCGUGCAGGAAGAAGGCCUUCGGGUUGUAAACUGCUUUUGUACGGAGCGAAAAGGUCUCCUCUAAUACAGGGGGCUCAUGACGGUACCGUAAGAAUAAGCACCGGCUAACUACGUGCCAGCAGCCGCGGUAACAC
rnacentral:rRNA from 1 species